rnacentral:precursor_RNA from 1 species
ACCUCCAAGCCAUCACUUGCCCCAGCUAGGUAAAGAGCCCUGUGGAGACACCUGGAUUCAGAGAACAUGUCUCCACUGAGCACUUGGGCCUUGAUGGCGGCUCUUGUUCCAAGGCAAGGG